rnacentral:rRNA from 1 species
GUCGCAAGACCAAAGUGGGGGACCUUCGGGCCUCAUGCCAUCAGAUGUGCCCAGAUGGGAUUAGCUAGUAGGUGGGGUAACGGCUCACCUAGGCGACGAUCCCUAGCUGGUCUGAGAGGAUGACCAGCCACACUGGAACUGAGACACGGUCCAGACUCCUACGGGAGGCAGCAGUGGGGAAUAUUGCACAAUGGGCGCAAGCCUGAUGCAGCCAUGCCGCGUGUGUGAAGAAGGCCUUCGGGUUGUAAAGCACUUUCAGCGGGGAGGAAGGCGUUAAGGUUAAUAACCUUGGCGAUUGACGUUACCCGCAGAAGAAGCACCGGCUAACUCCGUGCCAGCAGCCGCGGUAAUACGGAGGGUGCAAGCGUUAAUCGGAAUUACUGGGCGUAAAGCGCACGCAGGCGGUCUGUCAAGUCGGAUGUGAAAUCCCCGGGCUCAACCUGGGAACUGCAUUCGAAACUGGCAGGCUAGAGUCUUGUAGAGGGGGGUAGAAUUCCAGGUGUAGCGGUGAAAUGCGUAGAGAUCUGGAGGAAUACCGGUGGCGAAGGCGGCCCCCUGGACAAAGACUGACGCUCAGGUGCGAAAGCGUGGGGAGCAAACAGGAUUAGAUACCCUGGUAGUCCACGCCGUAAACGAUGUCGAUUUGGAGGUUGUGCCCUUGAGGCGUGGCUUCCGGAGCUAACGCGUUAAAUCGACCGCCUGGGGAGUACGGCCGCAAGGUUAAAACUCAAAUGAAUUGACGGGGGCCCGCACAAGCGGUGGAGCAUGUGGUUUAAUUCGAUGCAACGCGAAGAACCUUACCUGGUCUUGACAUCCACAGAACUUUCCAGAGAUGGAUUGGUGCCUUCGGGAACUGUGAGACAGGUGCUGCAUGGCUGUCGUCAGCUCGUGUUGUGAAAUGUUGGGUUAAGUCCCGCAACGAGCGCAACCCUUAUCCUUUGUUGCCAGCGGUUAGGCCGGGAACUCAAAGGAGACUGCCAGUGAUAAACUGGAGGAAGGUGGGGAUGACGUCAAGUCAUCAUGGCCCUUACGACCAGGGCUACACACGUGCUACAAUGGCAUAUACAAAGAGAAGCGACCUCGCGAGAGCAAGCGGACCUCAUAAAGUAUGUCGUAGUCCGGAUUGGAGUCUGCAACUCGACUCCAUGAAGUCGGAAUCGCUAGUAAUCGUAGAUCAGAAUGCUACGGUGAAUACGUUCCCGGGCCUUGUACACACCGCCCGUCACACCAUGGGAGUGGGUUGCAAAAGAAGUAGGUAGCUUAACCUUCGGGAGGGCGCUUACCACUUUGUGAUUCAUGACUGGGGUGAAGUCGUAACAAGGUAACCGUAGGGGAACCUGCGGUUGGAUCACCUCCUUACCUUAAAGAA